AACCAACCCAUUUAGCACAAUGCCACAUGGUAGGUGCUCUACAAGAUAGCUGGAAGAAAGAGGGCACAGAAAGGUGAUAUACAUAAACUGUGUCUGAAAUAAAGGACAAGGUGCAGAUUCCAUAUGGAGAGGACCUAGGAUCGUGGCAAGUAGAACCAGACAGUACUAAGCUGUCAGGACUUGACAGGCCGGUGUACUCCCUAUUGGAGGCCAGGCUGCUUUCAGGGCCCUUUCACAAAAGAAAAGCAACCCUUGUGAAAAGUAAAAAGCAUUUUGCACCACCUGACCCCAACUUCAAUGUGAACGCACCAGUACAUCCAGAGUUUCCUAGAUGGACUCCUACUGCAGCUUUCUUAGAGAACUAGGACUGUUCACCCUGUCUGAGUUUCUAAAUCAUGGACAUCUUCCAGCAGUAUUAGUGAGCUGGUCUGUGUGAUCCUAGAGAGAGAUGAGCAAUGGCAGGCUUGACUGCCCAGUGCGUCAAGCUGUGGAAACAGCCCUCUGGAGGACACUAUUCACCCCAACCCCAGCAACCAAUUACUCAGAGCUCAUUUAGUAAAUGAGCUCAUUCGGUGCCCUAAUUGGAGCUCUGUGAGAGUAAACUUGCAUCAAGAAGCUAGCUCUCCAUGGCUAGAUUUUCCUUUCUGGAACAUCACAAGACCAGACUGGGCAGGUAGUGAUGGAGAGCACCUGUCCUAGUGCUUGGCUGCCUAAUGCAAAAUGCAGGGUGGGUAUUUGCAGGCUUUGCAGACUUCAGCAAGCUAUUCUAUCCUGUUCCUCGUCUAUAAAAAGGGAAUUCAUGGCACUGGAAGUAGAAGAGGAGGUAAUAUCAUGCCCAUACCCACCUAGAUUGUAUCCUUCCUUGGCUUAUUUAUGUACAGCAAACCACCUAAAUUCUAGUUAUAUAAUAUUAAAAUAUUUGUGGGGGGAACUGAAAUUAUUUACUUGGGUUUGAUUAUUCAAGUCUAAAUAAAUAAAUUCAGGGACUCUAUGGAACCUACUACACCAUUGUUCGACUGCAUUAAGUCAUACUUUCACAUUAGUUUCUGUUGCAGUCUAGCUAAGCAACUUUGCAUCUACUUAAGUAUCAGGUAGUUACUGAUUACAAUUAUCUCAUCUAUUUGAUUUUACUAUCUUGAAAGCUGGUUCCACGUAUCUUCAUGUCCCACAAUCUCAUCAAAAUGCUCAAUAGAUAUUUGUUAACAAAUAUGCUGGAAUAAAUCUCUGCUAUUCCUGAUGAAAAUCAACUUGAUUGAAUAUUGGUUAGUUUUAGUACCUAUAAAUACUUAGUUCUUCUCCUUUAUUUGGAAGUACUGAGUCUUAAGUUCAGGUCUUUGCACUUGCUAGGCCUCUCUGUCACUUGAGCCACUCUUCCACCUCUUUUGUUCUCUGGUUAUUUGGAGAAUAUGCUCUUGCUUUUUACCCUGACCAGCCUGAACUACAAACUGCUAUUUAGGCUUCCUAUGAAGUUGGCAUAACUGCCACAUAACACAAUGCCCAACUUUUCAUCAGGAUUAUAUGACUCUUCCUACCUAGAACCUGAAAUUUUGAUACUCCUAAUCUCAACCUCCUGUGCUCAGCUAUUAGUUUACCCAGCUAUGGGUAUCUUGCCCACUUUUUGUCUGGACUGGCCUCUCAAUUUCUAAUUUCCAAGUGGCUAGGAUCACAGGUACAAGCCACUCACUCUUAGUGAACUAAACAGACAAUUCUUUGAUCUUGAAUCUUGCAGUUCUAGAGGUUGGGGAAGUCCAAGAAGAGAGUGAUGGCAUCUGGUACCUGGUAAGGAUCUUCUUGCUGUAUCCUCACAUCACAGAAAAAUAGGACAAAGCAGAGCCUAGCUGAUUCUCUAACAUCACUCAUCCUAUUACCUUGAGAUCUAAUCAACCCUUAAAAGCUUCACUUUUUAAUAUCAUCACAUUGGUUCUUAGGUUCAAACAUGUGAAUUUGGUAAAACUCAACAGAAACUAACGGGACAAAAUAGUAAAGCAACAAGCCAAGCCAAGAAUAUGUAGUAUUCACGAGCCACAGAUAAUUUGUGCUGAGUGAUUCACAGUAAAGAUAAAGAAUGUGAAUUCUGAAGCCUUCUGGGUUCUAAACCUUCCAGAGUUGGGCAGUAUACUAAGAAGUUCUAUAUACCCAGAGAAAUUCUGAGUUAACUGUAAUUGUCACGAAAUCUAGGGACAACUGAUGAAGUAAUUCUGUUGUUCAAAAAACGUAAACAUUUUAAUGCAUAAGAACAUUGUACAUUUAGCAUUACUCAAAAAUAUUAACUUUAUAAGCACGUAAUGGCUGCAUAUUUAGUGGUCACUGAUUGAGGAUUAUAGUUGCCAAAGUCAAGUCAAUGUUGAAAAUAAUAAACUUAAAGUGUAAUCAAAGCAAAUUAUUAUUUUUCUUCUAUGCAAACAGGAUGAUUUGUUGUACAAAUCCUUUUAUAUCUCUUGUGAAGCAGAUGCAGAUGUUGAUUGAAAAAUUCAGAAAUUUAUACCUCCAGACCUACCAUUCCAAUAGAUUUAGAAACGAAGGUAAAUUACUCCUCAUUAUCAAGUUUCUAUAGAAAUAACUUCUCACUUCAAAAAUACAAGGAAACCUUGAAAUAACUUCUUUUCUUUCAUUUAGUCAUUUUCCUGGUUCCAGAAACAGAAGCAAAUACAAUGUGACUAGCUAAUUCCCAGCUGCGUAAAGAUUUAAACCCAUGUCUGAAAACUGGACAAUCAAAUUAUGUAGUAGCCGAGUAGCCAGAAAUAAACCCAAUAGCUAAAUGUAGUUUAUUCAACAUUAUUAACACAAAUAAAAUUUACACCCAUAGUCCUGCACAUUAAAAACAACUUCUCCCAAAACAAAGAGCAAUAUUUUGCUGUGCCAAUCAAAUUAAACCACCACAAACAUAUGGAAAGAAAUCAAUUCGGUAACAAAACUUUGAAAAGUAUGGCAUUUAUCAUGUUCAAGACAGGCUCAUUUCAGUUUUAAAUAAACUUUCUUCCUCCAAGUAAGAAAUUUUUUUCUUUGUUUUGCUUUGCUGGGAAUGGACUCAACCCAAACAUUCUGUCAACUGAGCUAUAAAACCCUUUUCACCAACCCUACAUUAAUUAAAAGAGGGAAAACAAGAAUAAACAUAUAUAAUAUGUGUAUUGAUUUUAGGCAAAAGUGAGACUAAAAUCCUAUACCAAGAAUGCAAGAAUAAGAGUCUGGGAAUUAUGGUGAGAAAGAUUUAUAGGAAAAGCCUAGUCUUCUUGUUUUCUAUCAACACUUCCGGAGACUAACUGCAAAAUCACCUCAGCAAAUCUCCUUGACUAACAGGAAAGGAGCCAUUUUUAAUGGGCUUGGAAGCCCUAGCUCCACAGACCUCUACAGAUGAAAACUGAUAGCCUCCAAUAGAGCCUUAGUCUGAACAAUAAGUGCAUCAUCUACGCUCCCUGAAUCAUAUUCCUAAAUUAGCAGCCUCCACAGCCACCAUUAACUCACAUUUGAGAGACAUCGUCAAGAUCAGUCUUCCAAAUCAUGUACCACAAUAGCCUCAUCUGCAAGUUAUGAGCAGGUGAACAAUACAGAUGAGGAUAAGGGAAUAAUGUCUGUGCUAAAGUGCAGACAAGAAUGGAAGGGAUGAGAAAGAAAAAGGCAUGGAGUUAGACAUUUUAGAACACAAAGAAAACUUAUAGGUUACCUAGUCUGGUCUUGUAGCAAGUGUGGGACUAAAUCUGUGGAAUGCAAAAACAGCCCCGCUGGCAAAGAAGAAAUGAAUGUGUGCUGCCAAAAGCCCACAAGGUUUCUCAGCAUUCCUGAAGCUCCCUGGUUAUUCUUCCAAAAACAGAAACAGUCAAAACUAUUGUGUCAAAAUUAAGUGAGGAGUCGGCUUCCCUUCUGGGAAUUUUAAAUUUGCAUUCAGGUAAAAACAGUAAACUGAAACUUGGAAGUGAUUUUCUUUGUUUUGUCUUAAUUUUACCACAGAUUCCUUGCAUUCAUUCAUUCAAUUGUUUUCUAGGACUUCCAAGUGUCAGAAACUGCCUGGCCACAGGGGUACAGCAAUGAAACAAGUAGGAAGUUCUAGAAGAGGACUGUCAAUAAGCAAGCACAGAUAUUUGUGGAUAAGGUGGUGAAAGAUGAUAUAAUGAAAAUGAAAUCCAGUGACAGUAGAGAUUGUCAGAAGAAGCUAGUUCAUAUAGUUUAAUGUUCAAGCAAAGGUUCACUGAUCAAGCCAGUUGACAUGAGAGUUAUAGAAAGAACAUCAUAAAAGACUAUAUAGUAAAAGCAUUCCAAGCUGAGGAACCAGUGAUUGCCAAGGAUUUUCAGUGAGAAGCAAGAGGAAAGCCAGAGUAAGUUUGAUGAAUAGAUCAAGGGCAGUGGAGGAAGGAACUGGGGACAAGAUCAGGUAAGAGUCUUAUAAGCCACAACAAAGACUUUCAAUCUUACUCUCAAUGAAAUGGCAAGUUAGUAGUGUAUUUGAGAAGAUAAAUAAUUAUUUGGCUGAUAAGAAAAUUAUAUGACAAGAAAGCAACUGUAGCUGGUAGACUACUUAGGAAAGCAUUGUUAUAGGCCAUAUAAAAGAUAGGUUGGUGAAAUGGACUUAGGUGCUACCAGAGUUUCAGGGCAUAGUUGGAGGAAGUUGUUAAGUGUGAUAGCAAGUGAAAGGUCUAUGAUGAUUUCACAGUCUUUACCUUGAGUAACUAAAAUUAUCACUUACUGAGCCAGAGUAGAUUGUGAGACAAUUCUUCACAUUUCCUAAGACCACGGUAAAACUUAAAGAUACUUUUUAAACAGCCAAGCAGAAAAGUUUGAUAGGCAGGAGCAUAUACAAAUCUGGAGAUCAAAGGAGAAUCAACAAUGGCAGUGCAUAAAUCAUAACUAUCAGAUAAAAGUUAUCUAAUGCCAAGACUGGGUGAGCUCAUCCAUGGAGAGAUCGUAAAUAUAGAAUAUUUCUAGUGAAUGAGUCCUCAUAUAUUUUGCGAUUAGAGAAAAGGAAGAUGAAGGGGCUGGGGAUAUAGCCUAGUGGCAAGAGUGCCUGCC